CGUUAUCCGGAUUUACUGGGUGUAAAGGGAGCGUAGACGGCGAAGCAAGUCUGGAGUGAAAACCCAGGGCUCAACCCUGGGACUGCUUUGGAAACUGUUUUGCUAGAGUGUCGGAGAGGUAAGUGGAAUUCCUAGUGUAGCGGUGAAAUGCGUAGAUAUUAGGAGGAACACCAGUGGCGAAGGCGGCUUGCUGGACGAUGACUGACGUUGAGGCUCGAAAGCGUGGGGAGCAAACAGGAUUAGAUACCCUGGUAGUCCACGCCGUAAACGAUGACUACUAGGUGUCGGGGAGCAAAGCUCUUCGGUGCCGCAGCCAACGCAAUAAGUAGUCCACCUGGGGAGU
rnacentral:rRNA from 1 species